rnacentral:ncRNA from 1 species
CUAGGCUGCGGUCGUCGCUGAAUAUCAGUGAUCGGGUUUAGCAGCCUGUGGG